rnacentral:rRNA from 1 species
UACAGGGGGGGCAAGCGUUGUUCGGAAUUACUGGGCGUAAAGGGCUCGUAGGCGGCCAACUAAGUCACACGUGAAAUCCCCAGGCUUAACCUGGGAACUGCGUGUGAUACUGUAUAUCUUGAAUGUCGUAGAGGUUAGCGGAAUGUUGCAUGUAGCGGUGAAAUGCUUAGGUAUGUUACAGAACACCAAUUGCGAAGGCAGCUAACUAUGCGAUGAUUGACGCUGAGGCACGAAAGCGUGGGGAGCAAACAGG